rnacentral:rRNA from 1 species
UACGGAGGGUGCGAGCGUUAUUCGGAAUCACUGGGCGUAAAGGGCGCGUAGGCGGUCUGGUAAGUCAGGGGUGAAAUCCCACGGCCCAACCGUGGAACUGCCUUUGAAACUGCUGGGCUUGGAUCCUGGAGAGGGUGGCGGAAUUCCUGGUGUAGGAGUGAAAUCCGUAGAUAUCAGGAGGAACACCGGUGGCGAAGGCGGCCACCUGGACAGGUAUCGACGCUGAGGCGCGAAAGUGCGGGGAGCAAACAGG